rnacentral:snRNA from 1 species
GUGCUUACAUGGUGGGAAAGACACCAUUCUUACAAAGGUGAUCUUCCCAGGGUCAGGCUCCUCCACCACGUCUCAGGCCUAGCGACCCCUGUGUUUACCUCACAUGCAGGAAACAAGACUGCACUGAUUUAUGAUAGUGGGGCAUUUUGUUCACGCUCUCCUCUA